AUAUCUACAUAUGUAGAUUAGAAACUUUCGGUCGGGUUCAGUUUAAUUUUGAUCGGGUUAGUUAAUACAUUGUUGAGUCUUUUGAUCAGCAUGGACAUGGUUUGAUGUGUGUUCGGUACCACAUAACAUGCGAGAAUACCUUCUCCGGUAUGUUGGAGAGAAGAUUAGCAAGAAAAAAUCGCGUGAGAAAAUGAGAAGUUGACAGAAAAAGAUUUUUUUCAUUAUCGAAAGAGACAUGUACAACAUCCAUAAUGGUGUGUCUGAUGGAAUUUGUCAUUUCAUUAAUAAAUAAUGCUGAUAAAGAUGCAAACUUAGCAAUUGUGCCUAAAAAGUGACAGCUUUGACAAAGAAAUAUAUCCAUAUAUAACAGUUACUGGUACUGUAUGAAUGCAGUGAAAGGAUCCAGAUGAACAAAUGAAGAGAUUAAGUACAAUGUACAUCAAUUACUUGGAUGAAGAGAAUCUGCAACAUGGGGAAAUAAUGUUCCUAUAGAAAAGUCAAAGAAUGUAUACAUGUGAGAUUCUGAAGUAGCCGUGCAUGAUGAGUAGGAAUUUGAAGUGAAUUAUGGGAAAAGUGAAAUGGUAAAAAAGAAACUGCUAGCGCUACUGUGCAGACUACCAUCAAUCAACAUGAUCAACAAAAUCAAGUAAUCCUUCUGAAGAUGGAGUAGUACACAAGCACAAUUUUUUAAAGAAAGAAAAGUCAAUGGAAUGAAGAAAAGGUGAAGUGAAUUGUCACUCAUUAUAUUUUAAAUUUAAUGUGGACAUGGUCAUUAUUUUAGUUAUGUCAUAACCUUCUUAUCAAUUUUAAGCAGUGCAGACAGAUGCAUUUCUUAUUGCUUUGAAUAGAAUAAAUUAUCAAAAAAGUUUGUAUAUGUUUUUUGAUAUAGAAUUUAUAUUAAAAAAAAAAUUAUCAAUUACUGCAGUUUUGAAUUUCAGUACACUAGAAAUUUUUCUGCCCUGCCAUGAAUAUGGCUGGGGCAUAUAGAGUUUGUCAUGUCCGUCUUCCGUCCUUUCAACCUUCUGUCUGUCCUUCCAUUCCGCUUUGCUUUUAGCUCAGUUCAAAACUAAGUUUCAAAGAAACUAUUCAAGAUAUUUUUAUCAAUCUUCAUAUGCUGAUACAUAUUGAUAAGAGGUAUUCAAUUUCAUCAACGUACCUUGACCUUUCCUUUAACUUUGACCUCACUUUUCUUAAAUUAGUGUUUAGCUCAGUUUUAAAGAAACCAUUCAAGAUAGUGUAAUCAAACUUCAUAUGCUGAUACAUACUGAAUCAACAUUUUUUUACCUUGACCUUUCCUUUGACCUUGACCGUACUUAUCUUAAAUAAGUGUUUAGCUCAGUUUUAAAGAAACCAUUCAGGAUAGCGUAAUCAAACUUCAUUUGCUGAUACAUACUGAUGAGAGCUAUUCAACUGCAUCAACAUUUUUUGAUCUUGAUUUUUCCUUUGACCUUCACCUCACUUUUUCUAAAUUAGUGUCAAACUUCAUAUUCUGAUACAGACUGAUGUAAGGUAUUUGACUGUAUCAACAUUUUUGACCUUGACAUUUCAUUUGAC